rnacentral:rRNA from 1 species
AAUGAACGCUGGCGGCGCGCCUAAUACAUGCAAGUCGAGCGAGAAGACGUAGCAAUACGUUUGUAAAGCGGCGAACGGGUGAGGAAUACAUGGGUAACCUACCCUCGAGUGGGGAAUAACUAGCCGAAAGGUUAGCUAAUACCGCGUACGCUCCUUGGACUUCGGUUCAGGGAGGAAAGCGAUACCGUGGGUAUCGCGCUCUUGGUUGGGCUCAUGUCCUAUCAGCUUGUUGGUGAGGUAACGGCUCACCAAGGCUUCGACGGGUAGCUGGUCUGAGAGGACGAUCAGCCACACUGGCACUGCGACACGGGCCAGACUCCUACGGGAGGCAGCAGUAAGGAAUAUUGCGCAAUGGGCGAAAGCCUGACGCAGCGACGCCGCGUGGGGGAUGAAAGUCUUCGGAUUGUAAACCCCUUUCGGGAGGGAAGAUGGAACGAGCAAUCGUUCGGACGGUACCUCCAGAAGCAGCCACGGCUAACUUCGUGCCA